rnacentral:lncRNA from 1 species
UGGAUUUUGCGAAGGGAGGAUGGCCAGUAGUUGCUACUGGCUCUUUAUUAUCCAAUGUGAUCGCUAGUGGUGAGCUUUCUCCCCGACUAUUUUUGUUAGUCUGAGUUUAUUGUAGUCUUGACCCUGUUUUUGCAGGACUUAGCGAGAAAACUGCACCUUCAGCUGCUCCUGCGGUGCCGAGUACUCGGCCGCCUGUUGCCGCGAAGAAGCGCGUGCAAUUGCUGCCACGAUCAACUCGGUGAGUUUUUUAUUCUUGGUUUGUAUCUUUGAGCUUUCUGAAAG